rnacentral:rRNA from 1 species
AGCUCCAAUAGCGUAUAUUAAAGUUGCUGCAGUUAAAAAGCUCGUAGUUGGAUUUCGGAGUGGGCCAGUUGGUGUGUUACUGACUGGUUUGCUCUUCUUCGCAAAGACUGCGUGUGCUCUUCAGUGAGUGUGCGUAGGAUUUACGACGUUUACUUUGAAAAAAUUAGAGUGUUCAAAGCAGGCUAUUGCUUGAAUACAUGAGCAUGGAAUAAUGGAAUAGGACUUUGGUCCCAUUUUGUUGGUUUCUAGGGCCGAAGUAAUGAUUAAGAGGGACAAUUGGGGGCAUCCGUAUUUCGUUGUCAGAGGUGAAAUUCUUGGAUUUACGAAAGACGAACAACUGCGAAAGCACUUGCCAAGAGUGUUUUCA